AGCAGCUUUACUGGAUGCACCUUCAUGCGGUUUUAGUGGUGUUAGCCUCGAGUGUGAAUUAAAAAAUCUCAUGGCAUUGAAUCUGAUUUCCCUGGUUCAUACGGAACUUUUCUUGGAUCUAACCUCAACAUGUAAACAUGGCAAGAUGUAAAUGAAUCGAUUUUUUUAUGUCAUUCGUGCCAGACUAGAUUCCUGGUGCAAAGAGAUUUGUACUGUGUUGUGGACUCAUUCUAUCUUUAAACGACAUUAGUGAGCAAUCUUCCUGAGUACUUUAAUGAUUUCUCUGGUUCAUGUGGACUCAUUUAUCUAAUUUCAACAUGUAAAUCAGUCUGGAAUCUCAUGGCAUUGAAUUUGAUUUCCCUGGUUCAUACGGAACUUCUCUUGAAUCUAACCUCAACAUGUAAACAUGGCAAGAUGUAAAUGAAUCAAUCUUUUUUUGUCAUUCGUGCCAGACUAGAUUCCUGGUGCAAAGAGAUUUGUACUGUGUUGUGGACUUAUUCUAUCUUCUAACGACAUUAGUGAGCAAUCUUCCUGAGUAGUUUAAUGAUGUCUCUGGUUCAUGUGGACUCAUUUAUCUAAUUUCAACAUGUAAAUCAGUCUGGAGUGAGUCAAUCUUUUAACUUCAUUUGUGCCAGACUUGUUUUUCCUGAUGGAAAGUGUUUUGUACUGUAUUGUUGGUCUUCCAUAUCUUGAAACAACAUUUUAGUGUGCAACCUUAUGCAAGAUGGGUGUGUCUGCAGAAGUGCACCGGGCUAGGAUUGGUACCUAUGCAAGCAGUAGAGUAUCAGUAAGAACCAGGAGAGGCCAACCUAAAUGCUUCAGUUCAUUUUUUUUUCAAUUGCCAGUUUCUCUGGUCUUGAUUCUCAUCCUUUUAUUCAUUGGGGGCAUUGAACUAAAUCCUGGUCCGACUUACCGAUGUGAAGAAUGCUCUGCGGUACUGAUUAGUGCUCAGCAAUAUUUCAAUCACCAGAAGG